UACGUAGGGGGCAAGCGUUGUCCGGAUUUAUUGGGCGUAAAGAGCGUGUAGGCGGCCAGGUAGGUCCGGUGUGAAAACUCGAGGCUUAACCUCGAGAUGUCAUCGGAAACCAUUUGGCUAGAGUCCGGAAGAGGAAAGUGGAAUUCCUGGUGUAGCGGUGAAAUGCGCAGAUAUCAGGAAGAACACCAAUGGCGAAAGCAGCUUUCUGGGACGGUACUGACGCUGAGACGCGAAAGCGUGGGGAGCGAACAGG
rnacentral:rRNA from 1 species